GAUGAACGCUGGCGGCGUGCUUAACACAUGCAAGUCGAACGAUGAAGCCCAGCUUGCUUGGUGGAUUCGUGGCGAACGGGUGAGUAACACGUGAGUAUCCUGCCCUUAACUCUGUGAUAAGCCUUGGAAACUGGGUCUAAUACCGGAUAGGAGCGUCCCCCGUACGGUGGGGGUUGGAGAGAUUUUUCGGUUUUGGAUGGACUCGCGGCGUAUCAGCUUGUUGGUGGGGUAGUGGCUCACCAAGGCGCUGACGGGUAGCCGGCCUGAGAGGGUGACCGGCCACACUGGGACUGAGACACGGCCCAGACUCCUACGGGAGGCAGCAGUGGGGAAUAUUGCACAAUGGGCGCAAGCCUGAUGCAGCGACGCCGCGUGAGGGAUGACGGCCUUCGGGUUGUAAACCUCUUUCAGUAGGGAAGAAGCGAAAGUGACGGUACCUGCAGAAGAAGCACCGGCUAACUACGUG
rnacentral:rRNA from 1 species